UACAGAGGUCUCAAGCGUUGUUCGGAUUCAUUGGGCGUAAAGGGCGCGUAGGCGGCAAUUCAAGUCAGCUGUGAAAUCUCCGGGCUUAACUCGGAACGGUCAGCUGAUACUGUUUUGCUAGAGUGCAGAAGGGGCAAUCGGAAUUCUCGGUGUAGCGGUGAAAUGCGUAGAUAUCGAGAGGAACACCUGAGGUGAAGACGGGUUGCUGGGCUGACACUGACGCUGAUGCGCGAAAGCCAGGGGAGCAAACGGG
rnacentral:rRNA from 1 species